CUUUCUUUGCUGGCGACCGGCGCACGGGUGAGUAACACGUAUCCAACCUGCCCUUUACUCGGGGAUAGCCUUUCGAAAGAAAGAUUAAUACCCGAUAGCAUAAUGAUUCCGCAUGGUUUCAUUAUUAAAGGAUUCCGGUAAAGGAUGGGAAUGCGUUCCAUUAGGUUGUUGGUGAGGUAACGGCUCACCAAGCCUUCGAUGGAUAGGGGUUCUGAGAGGAAGGUCCCCCACAUUGGAACUGAGACACGGUCCAA
rnacentral:rRNA from 1 species